rnacentral:rRNA from 1 species
UAUAGGAGGUCCAGCCUGCCCAGUGACUACAAGUUCAACGGCCGCGGUAUUUUGACCGUGCAAAGGUAGCGCAAUCACUUGUCUUUUAAAUAGAGACCUGUAUGAAUGGCUAAACGAGGGCUUAACUGUCUCCCCUUUCAAGUCAGUGAAAUUGAUCUACCCGUGCAGAAGCGGGUAUAAUUAUACAAGACGAGAAGACCCUUUGGAGCUUAAGGUACAAAGCUCAACCACGUUAAGCAACUCAGUAAAAAGCAAAAACUUUAUGGAAUAUGAUAUUUUACCUUCGGUUGGGGCGACCACGGAAGAAAAAAGAUCCUCCGAGUGGACCGGGAUAAACCUCCUAGAACCAAGAGACACACCUCUAAGCCACAGAACAUCUGACCAAACAUGAUCCGGCCAUAAAAGCCGAUCAACGAACCAAGUUACCCUAGGGAUAACAGCGCAAUCCUCUCCCAGAGUCCAUAUCGACGAGGGGGUUUACGACCUCGAUGUUGGAUCAGGACAUCCUAAUGGUGCAGCCGCUAUUAAGGGUUCGUUUGUUCAACGAUUAAAGUCCUACGUGA